rnacentral:rRNA from 1 species
AGUGAACGCUGGCGGUAGGCCUAACACAUGCAAGUCGAACGGCAGCACAGUAAGAGCUUGCUCUUACGGGUGGCGAGUGGCGGACGGGUGAGGAAUACAUCGGAAUCUACUUUUUCGUGGGGGAUAACGUAGGGAAACUUACGCUAAUACCGCAUACGACCUACGGGUGAAAGCAGGGGAUCUUCGGACCUUGCGCGAUUGAAUGAGCCGAUGUCGGAUUAGCUAGUUGGCGGGGUAAAGGCCCACCAAGGCGACGAUCCGUAGCUGGUCUGAGAGGAUGAACAGCCACACUGGAACUGAGACACGGUCCAGACUCCUACGGGAGGCAGCAGUGGGGAAUAUUGGACAAUGGGCGCAAGCCUGAUCCAGCCAUACCGCGUGGGUGAAGAAGGCCUUCGGGUUGUAAAGCCCUUUUGUUGGGAAAGAAAAGCAGCAGGUUAAUACCCCGCUGUUCUGACGGUACCCAAAGAAUAAGCACCGGCUAACUACGUG